AGCUGACCGGCGUCCUUGGUGCUCUGAUCGUACACCACCACCUCCUGUCUGCGGCCCAGGUCGACCUUGAGUGCACAAAUACACACAGGAACACAUCAGGAAGAUGUCAUAGAUAGAAGCUGCAAUGCAAACAGAAGAAAGAAACUCGUACGGAUUUUGCACAACUUGAGGGUUUCUUUGAGUACAUGAUGCCCACUCAAGAAGAGUAUGGUUUUUAACUGAAGUUGGAUAAUGACCUCCCCGAGAAGAACCACCCAGACCCAAGAGACAUGGGACAGUGACAGGGCCAAUGGGCAUCUCUCCAUGGCCUUUUACAUAGAUGAAUCUGAAAGCGAUAUCAUACAAUCAUCAUAGUAAACACGGAAUCUCCAAGAAAAGCUUUAGAAGUUCUAAAUAUUUGUGUGCAAACAUGGUUAUUCCUCUCAUGGGCAUUGCGCAAGUAUAAUUAGUACUAUUUUCAUCCAGAACGUAAGUAAACAUGUUCAAAAUGGGCUCUGAAUCUACAGGAAGAGAAGAUUACAAUAGUCAGUAACAAUGAAAUGAAUGUGUAUUGUUGGGCCAAGGAGUUUAAUACUGUAUAUGUAAACAAUUUACCAUAUAUAUAUAUAUAUAUAUAUAUAUAUAUAUAUAUA